CAGAGCAGUUGCUCUUCCUAUCAGUUUCUUCUGGCACGUUCUAUUCAAAAAAGAUGAAAGCAAAACUGAAACCAUCCAAAACCCACCAUGGCCCUCAAACUUGGAAACACAUUUCCUCCCCUCCCAUGUUUCGCAGAGCAAGAAUCCUCAUCUACUCACUGCAUAAAAAGGGAGGAAGAUUGAAGGAAAAAGAGCUGAAGCAAUCAAUAUUGGAACCCCCAGUGUGCUCAUCAAUCUGUAUUUGUAAGAUGUUGCAGUGUAUGAGAGAGGCAAGAAAAUUAUGGUAUGAUGCUGUUAAAACCGAUCGACGUUUACUCAGAUUCUAAAUCAGACGGUCCAUCUCGCAUCACCAACCCUCAGUCUCAGACCUUUUCAACAGAACCGAAGUUUGAGAAAACUGUUGGAAUCAGUGGAGUGGGGAAUAAAUUUUAAAACUCAACGAUGUGUGGUCCAGUCAUUAGUUCAAGAACUCGAAGUCCAGAAUUGCUUCAAUGACUCCGGUUCCAUGCUUUCUGUUUAUGAAUCUUCAAUAUGCAGAGCAUCAAUUCUUUAAAUGAUGGAAUCGCCUCUCACCUCGCACUCUCUGACGCAUAAUGGUUCCAGAAGACGCAGAGGAAACUAUAUUUAAGGAAUUAAAAGCAAAAUGAGGAUCAGAGUUGGAGGGAGUUCAAGAAUAACAUGAAAGCAAAACAAAAGGGAAGCAUCAUGGUGAGUGAUAAGCACUGAUCAUGACUUCUUCGAGCAGUGAACCAAAGUCGCUCUUCUUCAUGGACAAGUCCAAAGGUUAUUUCAUAUGGAUGCUAGAAGGGACAUAAUUUUCUGUGGUGGCAAUUACUCUGAGCAUUUCUCAUUCUUCCUGUCAAAAUUUAUAUAAACUGUGUAAUUUGAUUUCUGAAAACUGCUUUUGUCCCUAAUGAUAUUUAUAUGGAUAAAAUUAAAGUUUGUGAAGAAUGUCAUCUCUCAUUUAUAGCAGUUGCUUUAUCCAGGAAUGUCAUAUAUGUAACUUUAAAGUUGUUGGCUUUGAAUAAACCAAACACUUGAAGGGCUAAUCUGUUUUAGUAGUUGAAGGGCGUGGUGAAGCUGAUAAUAACACACCCAUAAUGACACGCUGCAAUAGACUUAUUCCGAAACAUAAGUCUAUUGUUUUGAUGGAUUGUUUUAGUAUUCUUAUAUCUUGCUUCAUAUUAAGGUUUUUUUUUUUUUUUUUGGUUUUAAAAAUAAU